AUGCUUUCACUUUUCAUAAAAUUCUGUUAUAAUCUAUUGUCAGCUUUGGUUGACUAUGGCGAUAAACGCCUUGCGCAAUAGGUGAAACGGACCCGGGGGCGGUACCCGGCGCCUCCACCAGUUUUGUUUCGAAAUUAGAGAGAGAUUCCAGAGUGUUUUUCUGGAUCUUUUUGUUUUUCUUCUGGGGGCGAAAUAGGAUCGACGUGCAUUGAAAGGCUUGGUUUUUGCUCGGCAUUGUUCCGUCGUUACAGGGCUAUAAACAUAAAAGCAAACGAUAACUUGUUUGCCGCGAAUAACAACGUUGAGAUCACCGGCGCGACUGCUGCCGCUGCUUAACAUGUCAUAAGCGCGGUUGGAGGGGCACCGGGCAACAGAAGCCCCUCGCU
rnacentral:tmRNA from 1 species